rnacentral:rRNA from 1 species
CCUACGGGUGGCAGCAGUGGGGAAUAUUGCACAAUGGGCGCAAGCCUGAUGCAGCCAUGCCGCGUGUGUGAAGAAGGCCUUCGGGUUGUAAAGCACUUUCAGCGGGGAGGAAGGCGGUGAGGUUAAUAACCUCAUCGAUUGACGUUACCCGCCGCAGAAGCACCGGCUAACUCCGUGCCAGCAGCCGCGGUAAUACGGAGGGUGCAAGCGUUAAUCGGAAUUACUGGGCGUAAAGCGCACGCAGGCGGUCUGUCAAGUCGGAUGUGAAAUCCCCGGGCUCAACCUGGGAACUGCAUUCGAAACUGGCAGGCUAGAGUCUUGUAGAGGGGGGUAGAAUUCCAGGUGUAGCGGUGAAAUGCGUAGAGAUCUGGAGGAAUACCGGUGGCGAAGGCGGCCCCCUGGACAAAGACUGACGCUCAGGUGCGAAAGCGUGGGGAGCAAACAGGAUUAGAUACCCGGGUAGUC